rnacentral:lncRNA from 12 species
GAACUUCUUUCAUGGCUCCCCAGCAUGCAGCAGCCAUACUAAGUCAGUUACAUACGGAGCAGGGACUUUAUUGCUAAAUUUACAACAUGGCAGAAGGCAGAUCAGAACUCAUGCUCACUGCAGGCUGAGACAUCCUAAAGAGAAAAGAAUGUGUGGAGGCGGGGCGGGGUAAUUUCGCCAAUCAUGUAAAUCACCCACACCUCCCCAUUAAGGAGGCUUGGGAGAGCAGAGUUACCAGAAUGAGAAGGAUUUUGACUGCUGAGGAUACUACGGAAACAUUAAAGUCCAUAACCCACCAUCAAAGAUUUAUGAGUUGAAGCUACGACAUAAAAGACAAGAGAAACAAGCAAGAGGCUGAACCUGAGGAUAUUUGGAGCUUACCUAAUAUCUAGGGAUCCUAUUACAUGAAAUAAUAUAGAUCCUUGUAUUAUAAGCAAGUGUGAGUUCAAUCUUCUUUUAUUUGCUGACAAGAUCAUGCCAACUGCUAAUUGUUACCCAAGAGAAAAUCAGUUUUGUCAUCUCUCUUCAAGAAUAUGAUAGCAUUGACACUGAAGCAAUAUUGGGAAGUGAUAGAUUAAAAAGGAUAUAUGGUAGCAGCAAA